rnacentral:rRNA from 1 species
AUUGAACGCUGGCGGCAGGCCUAACACAUGCAAGUCGAGCGGGGUUUUCGGACCUAGCGGCGGACGGGUGAGUAAUGCGUAGGAAGCUACCCGAUAGAGGGGGAUACCAGUUGGAAACGACUGUUAAUACCGCAUAAUGUCUACGGACCAAAGUGUGGGACCUUCGGGCCACAUGCUAUCGGAUGCGCCUACGUGGGAUUAGCUAGUUGGUGGGGUAAUGGCUCACCAAGGCGACGAUCCCUAGCUGGUUUGAGAGGAUGAUCAGCCACACUGGAACUGAGACACGGUCCAGACUCCUACGGGAGGCAGCAGUGGGGAAUAUUGGACAAUGGGCGCAAGCCUGAUUCAGCCAUGCCGCGUGUGUGAAGAAGGCCUUCGGGUUGUAAAGCACUUUCAGUAGGGAGGAAGAGUUGAGUGUUAAUAGUACUCAGCUUUGACGUUACCUACAAAAGAAGCACCGGCUAACUCUGUGCCAGCCGCCGCCGUAAGAC